rnacentral:rRNA from 1 species
GUGCCAGCAGCCGCGGUAAUACGUAGGGGGCCAGCGUUGCUCGGAAUUAUUGGGCGUAAAGGGCGCGUAGGCGGCUUGGUAAGUUUGAUGUGAAAUCCCAUGGCUCAACCAUUGAACUGCAUCUCAUACUGCCGAGCUAGAGUCUGGGAGAGGGAAGCGGAAUUCCCGGUGUAGCGGUGAAAUGCGUAGAUAUCGGGAGGAGCACCAGUGGCGAAGGCGGCUUCCUGGACCAGCACUGACGCUGAGGCGCGAAAGCUAGGGGAGCAAACAGGAUUAGAAACCCGUGUAGUCC